rnacentral:rRNA from 1 species
AUUGAACGCUGGCGGCAGGCCUAACACAUGCAAGUCGAGCGCGAAAGUUCUUCGGAAUGAGUAAAGCGGCGGACGGGUGAGUAAUACAUGGGAAUCUGCCUGGUAGUGGGGGACAACGUUUCGAAAGGAACGCUAAUACCGCAUACGCCUACGGGGAAAGGGGGGAGUCGCAAGACCUCUCGCUAUCAGAUGAGCCCAUG